UCUUCUGCGCCGAUUCCAUAACCUCUUUAAGGGUUUCGUUCUAUUUGCUUAUACAUAGAAACAACCGUGGAGAAACCCCAAAGGCUGCCACACACGUAAAUCUCCACGGUGUUCUGUGUAUAAGCAGAUGAGCAGGACCCGCACUUUCUCUCUUUCAUACGCUUUGGAUCAAUCCGCGUUGUUUCUUACAGAGGUCGAUAAAUAUAAAGGAUUCAUUCCAUUUGUUUAUACAAAGAGAUGACUGUUGAAGAGGAAGAGGUUUAGGGAAAAGUUUCUCUCAGAUUCUUUCUCGACGUACAGUCUCUCUUUGUAUAAACAAAUGUACUGGAUCUGAUUAUCAACUGUGUGUUUCUGAAAGAUCUAAUACUUGCGUGGACUGUUGUUUCCUUUGGCCUUCUGGUUGUUCCGACCACGUGAUCUGACAGUUGAGCUAUGAAUUUGUGAACUACCAGAUUACUUGUGUUGUGCAUGUGUUUGGAUUCUGGACCAUCUCAAUGGGUUAGACUAUUUUUGUAUAUUCAUGUCUUUGUGGUGGUUAGCUCUCUGGAAUUGGGUACUUUGUGUGUUUGUCUUUCAGAUUUGUGAUGAUAUUGGGUUAUAUAUGUAUGUAUCUUUUUGCUGUGUAUUCUCUAUGAGAUAAAAUGGCUUAAGGUCUAGAUGCAUGCUAUAUCUUUAUGAGUUUGUCUUUCAGAUCUGUGGGUUGUAGGUGUUGCUAAUAAUUGAAUAUAUGCCAUGAUGAUGAUCAUGUACAAUAGGUUGAUUUAUGUUAUAUUGUGCGGUAUGGCGUUUACGAAUUCUAAUUUCUUGCUAUGUGGAUGAAAAUAUUGAUGAAGAUGGAAGUGAUGACUAUUUCCCCAGAUGAUCGAAGCUGAACUAACUGAGCUAUUUACAUCUCUGUUACACAGAGAUACCAAGCCAGGUGUUUCUGAUCCAUCUUCAUGUAAUAAUUUCAAAUCUGUAGAUUGGUUGACUAUUUGAUGUUUUCAUUGUUUGAGUGGUUUUAUGCGUGUUGUGAAAUGAAUGAAUGAAUCAGGUUAAUAAUUGUGAUAAGGAACGUAUUGCGUGAGCUUUAGGCUAUCCCCUGUCAAUAUAAGAGUUGUUGAUUAUAUAGUAUCCUGUUUGUAGUUGAAAUUUAAUAGGUGCUGCUGCCAAAGUUGAAGCCUUGUGGGGUGCUCUACGCAGCGAACUUUUCAACCCAUAUCAUUCUCAAUGAAUCAGUCUCGCUUGAAAACUGCUUUAGUGAUCCUAAAUUCUGAAAGACAUGCGUAUAUUGUUGAAAUAUUGGGGAAGGAAAUGUGUCCUCACUCGGAUUUCUUUCCAUUGCUAAAA